CGGUACUUGAAGAAAUGGUUUACCGUCCCACAUACAUUUUGCAUAUGUAUGUGGGACGGUAAACCGCUUCUUGGUAUCC
ensembl:miRNA